AUUGAACGCUGGCGGCAUGCCUUACACAUGCAAGUCGAACGGUAACAGGUCUUCGGAUGCUGACGAGUGGCGAACGGGUGAGUAAUACAUCGGAACGUGCCUAGUAGUGGGGGAUAACUACUCGAAAGAGUGGCUAAUACCGCAUGAGAUCUACGGAUGAAAGCAGGGGAUCGCAAGACCUGGUGCUACUAGAGCGGCCGAUGGCAGGUUGGGUAGUUGGUGGGAUAAAAGCUUACCAAGCCGACGAUCUGUAGCUGGUCUGAGAGGACGAUCAGCCACACUGGGACUGAGACACGGCCCAGACUCCUACGGGAGGCAGCAGUGGGGAAUUUUGGACAAUGGGCGCAAGCCUGAUCCAGCAAUGCCGCGUGCAGGAUGAAGGCCUUCGGGUUGUAAACUGCUUUUGUACGGAACGAAAAGCCCCGGGUUAAUACCCUGGGGUCAUGACGGUACCGUAAGAAUAAGCACCGGCUAACUACGUGCCAGCCGCCGCAGUAA
rnacentral:rRNA from 1 species